UACAGAGGUCUCAAGCGUUGUUCGGAUUCAUUGGGCGUAAAGGGUGCGUAGGCGGCGCGGUAAGUCGGGUGUGAAAUCUCGGAGCUUAACUCCGAAACUGCAUUCGAUACUGCCGUGCUUGAGGACUGGAGAGGAGACUGGAAUUUACGGUGUAGCGGUGAAAUGCGUAGAUAUCUGGAGGAACAUCAGUGGCGAAGGCGGCACCCUGGACUCAUACUGACACUGAGGUGCGAAAGCGUGGGGAGCAAACAGG
rnacentral:rRNA from 1 species